GGUGAACGCUGGCGGUAGGCCUAACACAUGCAAGUCGAACGGCAGCACAGUAAGAGCUUGCUCUUACGGGUGGCGAGUGGCGGACGGGUGAGGAAUACAUCGGAAUCUACUUUUUCGUGGGGGAUAACGUAGGGAAACGUACGCUAAUACCGCAUACGACCUACGGGUGAAAGCAGGGGAUCUUCGGACCUUGCGCGAUUGAAUGAGCCGAUGUCGGAUUAGCUAGUUGGCGGGGUAAAGGCCCACCAAGGCGACGAUCCGUAGCUGGUCUGAGAGGAUGAUCAGCCACACUGGAACUGAGACACGGUCCAGACUCCUACGGGAGGCAGCAGUGGGGAAUAUUGGGCAAUGGGCGCAAGCCUGAUCCAGCCAUACCGCGUGGGUGAAGAAGGCCUUCGGGUUGUAAAGCCCUUUUGUUGGGAAAGAAAAGCAGCGGAUUAAUACCCCGCUGUUCUGACGGUACCCAAUGAAUAAGCACCGGCUAACUUCGUG
rnacentral:rRNA from 1 species